rnacentral:lncRNA from 1 species
GUGGCUCAUCUGAUCAAAGGAAAAUAUAGUACCCGGCUUCAACACCGAGUACCAGUUCCUUACGGCUCCCUUCAGGGUGGAUAGAAAAGCUCGGCACAGAAUGACGUCUGGCGCGCCAUGGAGCAGCAUCAUUAUCCGAAAGGCCUCCAGGUGGUCGAUCGGGUCCGAGGUCCCGUCAUAGCUUUUGAAUUGGGGGAGCUUGAAGUUUGGCGGGAUCGAUUCCUGCAUGAUCAUUUGAGAGAAGGGAGGGUUAGUAC